rnacentral:rRNA from 1 species
UACGGAGGGUGCAAGCGUUAUCCGGAUUUACUGGGUUUAAAGGGUGCGUAGGAGGACUGGUAAGUCAGUGGUGAAAUCCCCGAGCUUAACUUGGGAACUGCCGUUGAUACUAUCAGUCUUGAAUACCGUGGAGGUGAGCGGAAUAUGUCAUGUAGCGGUGAAAUGCUUAGAUAUGACAUAGAACACCAAUUGCGAAGGCAGCUCGCUACACGAAUAUUGACUCUGAGGCACGAAAGCGUGGGGAUCAAACAGG